CGCCAGACUCCUACGGGAGGCAGCAGUGGGGAAUAUUGCACAAUGGGGGAAACCCUGAUGCAGCGACGCCGCGUGAGUGAAGAAGUAAUUCGUUAUGUAAAGCUCUAUCAGCAGGGAAGAAAAUGACGGUACCUGAGUAAGAAGCCCCGGCUAACUACGUGCCAGCAGCCGCGGUAAUACGUAGGGGGCAAGCGUUAUCCGGAUUUACUGGGUGUAAAGGGAGCGUAGACGGCCAUGCAAGCCUGGAGUGAAAGCCCGGGGCCCAACCCCGGGACUGCUCUGGGAACUGUGCGGCUGGAGUGCGGGAGGGGCAGGCGGAAUUCCUGGUGUAGCGGUGAAAUGCGUAGAUAUCAGGAGGAACACCGGUGGCGAAGGCGGCCUGCUGGACUGUAACUGACACUGAGGCUCGAAAGCGUGGGGAGCAAACAGGAUUAGAUACCCCCGUA
rnacentral:rRNA from 1 species